UUUGGAAAGGUGCGGUCUCAGGCUAUGCGAUAUAGUAGCAACUGAAUCUAUACCCAGCAGUGGAUGAGCUAGACAUGACCAGAAAGCUUCCCGAUGGUGAAAAAAUCAGUGAAAUAUAUAGCAAUUAAUUUCAUUUUUAGUCGAACUUUCCAUACAUUUCCAUUAAAAAAUCUCAGGAAUCUGGGCACCCAUAAGAAAGUUUCUUAAGAUUUUUUGAAAAAAUUGAAAAAUUCCUUCCCAAUUUUUUGAUAUGUUAAAUGGGAUGUGCUAGCCUUCAUUUUAAGCCAAUAAAAUGAAAAAUCGGUUAGGGUGCUCAUUGACAAAACACCUAAUUUGUACUUUGAUGCCUCUGCCUGACUCACAGCUUUUAUUAGAAUCGUCUGUCAAUUCUCUACAAACUACCAUUAGAUCAAAACCGACCGGGUCGUUUCAUUUCGGGGUAAAAUUUUCUGAAAAAGUCAUGAUUUUGAAAUUUUCAAAUUUUCUUAGAGUCGCCCCGAGCCGGAGAGGUCGUUUUGAAAA